UUUUAACCAUCAACUCCUGCGUGAAGGAUAGCAGUGGAAAUCCUUUUGCUGCUAAGUUGAGCAUAGCGAAACGCAGCAAAAGAUUGUAACGGAUAGCCUGACCCUUU
rnacentral:sRNA from 1 species